rnacentral:snoRNA from 1 species
AGGACUAUAUUUUCAGGGAUCAUUUCUACAGCUAGUUCCUAGAAGAGUCUCUUUGAAUACAGAAACCAUGAGGAUGAAAUGUGAAUGUGAAAUCAGUUCUUUGAAUUGUUUCACUGAAAUUGUCAUUGUCACUGAUGGUCAUUCUUCUCUUCCUUUGAGAAAGGAAGAGGAAGAGGAGGC